GUUUGUGUAGUGUAGUGGUCAGCACAUCGGACUAGGACUAGGGAGAUGCAGGUUCGAAUCCCCACCUAGCCAUGAAGGUCA